rnacentral:lncRNA from 1 species
UGCAGGACUCUGUGGAGGAUCUCAUCCUGGCAGCCCAGCAACUCCUGGGCCAGCAUGCCAAUGUCAGCCACUGAGAACAUCUUCUUCUGGGUGGUAUAGCCCCUUUCCAUGGCCACCUGAAUGAGUCUAUUCAGGGAGAUUCCACUGGCAGGGGGAGGGCUGGAAAGUACUUGCUUUCCACAAAGCCACCAGCCUACACUGGCAAUCUUCUUAGAUGAGGAGGGGCAGGUUGAAGAUUCUAAUGCCUUAUUCAUUGAUCCAGCCAACACUCGGGUACUGGCACAAGGAAAUUGCCAUCAUGGACAAAUCCAAAAUGAAGUAGACGUGGAAGGCUGAGAUUUGGAACAAACUGCUAUGGCUGGGAAGUAGCAAGUAGAGUCCUAUAGACCACCCAGCCUGGAAAGUAUCAUCCUAUUUGCUGCUGUCAUUCCAGGCCACGUAUCCUUCCAAGUACCCUUCCACGUGACCUUCCCUCUGCUUGUCUUGCCAAAUGGCAGUAGCAAAAAUGGAGGAGGGGCUUUGGUCUCAGCAGCCAGGUAAUCAGCCCUAGAUCUAGAAUUGCUUUUUGCUGUGUGCUUAGCUUGAAUUCAACACCUCUGUUUUCAUCA